rnacentral:rRNA from 1 species
AUUGAACGCUGGCGGCAUGCUUUACACAUGCAAGUCGAACGGUAACAGGCCUUCGGGUGCUGACGAGUGGCGAACGGGUGAGUAAUGCAUCGGAACGUACCCAGAGGUGGGGGAUAACGCAGCGAAAGCUGUGCUAAUACCGCAUGUGAUCUGAGGAUGAAAGCGGGGGACCGAGCAGCAAUGUUUGGCCUCGCGCCUUUGGAGCGGCCGAUGUCGGAUUAGCGAGUUGGUGGGGUAAAGGCCUACCAAGGCGACGAUCCGUAGCUGGUCUGAGAGGACGACCAGCCACACUGGGACUGAGACACGGCCCAGACUCCUACGGGAGGCAGCAGUGGGGAAUUUUGGACAAUGGGCGCAAGCCUGAUCCAGCAAUGCCGCGUGCGGGAAGAAGGCCUUCGGGUUGUAAACCGCUUUUGGCAGGAACGAAACGGUGUCCGCUAAUACCGGGCGCUAAUGACGGUACCUGCAGAAUAAGCACCGGCUAACUACGUG